UUUUUUAAAAAAUAACUAUGUAUAGAUUUGUUGGCAAAAACUAUGUAUGUUUUGUUCUUUACAUUUUUUUUACCUUAUGCUUUAUCUACAUUGAGAACAUUUGGUAUGUUAAUCUUUUAUGAUUUAUCUAUUGUAUAAUACUUAGUCUUUUGAUUAUUGUUUAAAUCAUUACACAAACAUUUCUAAUGUUUCCUUCUUGUUUAGAUGCAGGCUUACUAUUUCAUCAGUUUUUGAGAUUCCGUAAGUGAUAUAUGAUAGUGAUGUAUAGUGAUAUGAUAGUAGUGUAUAGUGUAUAGAUAUGAUAUGAUAGUGAUGUAUAGGUGUAUAGGAAUGAUAGUGAUGUAUAGGUGUAUAGAUAUGAUAGUGAUGUAUAGAUGUAUAGAUAUGAUAGAUAAUAGUGACAUAUAGGGAUGACAUGAACAAUAUAAUCUUGAAUGUUAUUUAUAAUAAAAUAAACAUUUUGAUGCCUUAAAAGUUUUUUAAUACAAAAGAUGUAUUUUUUAUAAUCUUUCUUUUAUUGUUUAAAUCAUUAUACAACCUUUCUUAAUGUUUACUUGUGUAAUUAUGUUUUCAUUAUAUAGUUUAUCAAUAAAGUUGUUGAACAUUAUGCAGAACUUGUUUGAUUGUUGUUACUUAUUCACUUACCGUUGUCAAAUUUAAGGUGUUUUUUUUAUUUUGAUAUACAGUUUUCUUGUUAAUUUUAGUCCAAUCAACUCAGCCUUCCACUGUUCCAUCUACAUCUGAAACAGUUGGGUUUAUAUAAAAUGUUUCAUAAUGCUUUGAAAUCUUAACUAUCAUUGAAAAGAUGAAUUUAUACAAACACUUAUCUGCAAAACAACUUGAAGAUUUAGAUGAUGUGAUGUCUAAAAGAAUUGCUGGCAGAAAACUCUGUCAUGAAUGGUAUGAUACUGACUCAUCAAAGUUUAUCAUUUAUGAUGGUAGACUAGAAAAAGACAAAAUGAUAAAAUUUACACUAUUUCUUACUGAAAACAAGAUAAAACUGAUAUUAAAGCUGUUGAGCCUAAGAUGAAAAAAAUCCAGCUAGCUGCUGAUGUUGUAUUAGAUGAGUUAAUAUUUUCUUAGUUUGAAUAUGAAAUAAUGUAAAAAUGCUUGAAAAAAAAGUUCUGCAAGUUUUGUGGCUUGCAAACAAGUACUUCAAGGUUUGUGGAUUGCAAAUAGAUACAGCAAGUUUUGUAGUUUGC